rnacentral:lncRNA from 1 species
CAACAUCUGAAAAUUCUGCCUGAUAGAUAGAGAGAAGCAUCCUGGCAAGAGACACGGAGCUGACAGACGAAGAGAUGCACGUCUGACAGAACUGGGACUAUUCACCCAAGUCUGGGAAUUCAGCCAAAAAUUCCUGAAGGAUGAAUUCCUUUUCCUCAGUCAGGUUGACAUUUGAGCACACAUCGCCCUCUUGUGUCUACGACACAUUUGGCAACGUAGUUUCCAGCACCUGCUAAUGCACACAGCAAAUUGAAGCCUCGUUAACAUCCCUUAAGCCUGCAGACCUCGGUACAAGGCGGAGGGAGAACAAACGCACCAAUUUUCCCAGAAUAGUCAAGAACAUCCAGAAGAAUCCAGAAUUUGUGAAGAUGGUACUGUGGACCUUACCUUCCGAAAACUGCCAUCAGGGCCUCUGCAGGAGGCCCUGGCUGUGAUAAAUGUGCAUCUGUAGAGCGCACAACCUGAACAUCCUUACCAAGCAGCCCUGACCAAUAUCUUCCUGCCUAAAGAGUGCCAAUGCUGAGAGUAUGCCUUUAAAACCCCAUUUUGGCCAUUUCUC